rnacentral:rRNA from 1 species
UACGAAGGGUGCAAGCGUUACUCGGAAUUACUGGGCGUAAAGCGCUUUAAGGCGGUUCGCUAAGUCGGGUGUGAAACCUCCAGGCUCAACCUGGAGACGCCACUCGAUACUGGCGUGACUAGAGUUCGGUAGGGGCCACGGAAUUCCUGGUGUGAGCGGUGAAAUGACGCAGAUAUCAGGAGGAACACCAGUGGCGAAAGGCGGUGGUCUGGGCCGAUACUGACGCUGUAGAGCGAAAGCGUGGGGAGCGAACAGG